GAUGAACGCUGGCGGCGUGCCUAACACAUGCAAGUCGAACGAUUAAACCGGCCUUCGGCCGGAAAUAGAGUGGCGAACGGGUGAGUAACACGUGACCAACCUGCCCCCCGCUCCGGGACAACCGCUGGAAACGGCGGCUAAUACCGGAUGCUCCGCCUGGCCCGCAUGGGCCUUGCGGGAAAGCCACAGCGGCGGGGAUGGGGUCGCGGCCCAUUAGGUAGACGGCGGGGUGACGGCCCACCGUGCCCGCGAUGGGUAGCCGGGCUGAGAGGCCGAUCGGCCACAUUGGGACUGAGAUACGGCCCAG
rnacentral:rRNA from 1 species